rnacentral:piRNA from 1 species
GAGGAGCCACUGUGGCGACAGAAUGCUAGC